rnacentral:tRNA from 1 species
AGCCUUGAGGUGUAUGACACGUUUGAUUGCAAAUCUUAAGAAGCAGACUAAAUAUCUGCCGGGGCUU